AGUGGCGCAAGGGUGCGUAACACGUGGACAAUCUGCCAAAAAGUGGGGGAUAGCUCGCCGAAAGGCGAAUUAAUACCGCAUGCGACUAGAAAGGACAUCCUUUCGACGUUAAAGCCGGGGCAACCUGGCGCUUCUUGAUGAGUCCGCGGCCUAUCAGCUAGUUGGCGGGGUAACGGCCCACCAAGGCUAUGACGGGUAGCUGGUCUGAGAGGACGACCAGCCACACUGGAACUGAGACACGGUCCAGACACCUACGGGUGGCAGCAGUCGAGAAUUUUUCUCAAUGGGGGAAACCCUGAAGGAGCGACGCCGCGUGAAGGAUGAAGGUCUUCGGAUUGUAAACUUCUGUCAUUUGAGAACAAACUGCACGGGUUAACUGCCUGUGCACUGAUAGUAUCAGAAGAGGAAGAGACGGCUAACUCUGUGCCAGCAGCCGCGGUAAUACAGAGGUCUCGAGCGUUGUUCGGAUUCAUUGGGCGUAAAGGGUGCGUAGGUGGCAAGGUAAGUCGGAUGUGAAAUCCCGGGGCUCAACCCUGGAACUGCAUUCGAUACUGCCUGGCUAGAGUACUGGAGAGGAGAUCGGAAUUCACGGUGUAGCAGUGAAAUGCGUAGAUAUCGUGAGGAAGACCAGUGGCGAAGGCGGAUCUCUGGACAGUUACUGACACUGAGGCACGAAGGCCAGGGGAGCAAACGGGAUUAGAUACCCCGGUAGUCCUGGCAGUAAACGGUGCGCGUUUGG
rnacentral:rRNA from 1 species